ensembl:misc_RNA Metazoa_SRP Metazoan signal recognition particle RNA
GCCAGGCAUGGUGGUGCACACCCAUAGUCCCAGCUACUCGAGAGGCUGAGGUGGGAGGAUUGCUUGAGUCCAGGAGUUCUGAGCUGCAGUGUGCUAUGCCAAUUGGGUAUCUGCACUAAGUUUGCCAUCAAUAUGGUGACCUCCUGGGAGCAGGGUCCAUCAGAUUGCCUAAGGAGAGGUGAACCGGCCUAGGUCAGAAACGGACCAGGUCAAAAGCAGUUAAUCAGGUAAUAUUGAGUUAAGGCCAGGAUCUUACCUGAUAAUGAACACUGAUUUAAGAACAGCAGUGCAGUAUGCUAAU